CCUACGGGAGGCAGCAGUGGGGAAUAUUGCGCAAUGGGCGAAAGCCUGACGCAGCGACGCCGCGUGAGGGAUGAAGGUCUUCGGAUCGUAAACCUCUGUCAGCAGGGAAGAACGGUCACUGUGCUAAUCAGCAGUGAAUUGACGGUACCUGCAAAGGAAGCACCGGCUAACUCCGUGCCAGCAGCCGCGGUAAUACGGAGGUGGCGAGCGUUAAUCGGAAUUACUGGGCGUAAAGCGCUCGUAGGCGGUAUGUCAAGUCAAGGGGGAAAUCCCCGCGCUCAACGUGGGAAGUGCCUUUGAAACUGGCAAACUGGAGUGUGUGAGAGGAUAGUGGAAGUCCAGGUGUAGGAGUGAAAUCCGGAGAUAUCUGGAGGAACAUCAGUGGCGAAGGCGACUAUCUGGCACAUAACUGACGCUGAGGAGCGAAAGCGUGGGUAGCAAACAGGAUUAGAUACCCGAGUAGUC
rnacentral:rRNA from 1 species